rnacentral:lncRNA from 1 species
AUGCGCGGAUCAAACUUACUGGAGCCUGAGGCAGAGGUAGACAUGGGUGCCCUGGAAGUACCUCUUCACAGCCAGGGUGGGGCCCGUCCUUCCCAGGGCAGAGUCUUCCUCUCCCAUCACCUGCCCCAGGCAGGCGUCCAGGUCAUCCAGCUGCUGAUGGAGUCCAGUGCGGAGCUGCUCCAGGAGGGUGGUGUCCCAGGCAGCAGAGGAGUGCUCUGUGUGGAAGAGGUUGAAGCUCUGCUGGAGCAUCUCGUGGAGCACAGAGAUGGCCUGGGCCUCCUGCAGCUGGCUGCCCUCCACCAUCUCCUGGGGGAAAGUGAAGUCUUUUCUCUCCUGCAGACAGAAGCGAGGGGAGAUUCUCCUCAUUUGGCCCAGGAGCCUGAGGUUCUUCCUGCCAAUCAGCAUGUGGUUCUGAGACAGGUCACAGCCCAGGGAUCCUCCCGGGCCGUAGCUGACCAGCACCAGGGCCACGAGUAGAGAGAGCACGAAGGCCAUGGGGAAGAUGCGGCUGCUGCUGGGCUGGCUGAGACGGCGUCUGGUGGAACCUUGAGGUAGGUUCUCUGAUGCCAUGCUUUCUAAGCAAGGCCAUUAAAUAGGGAACAUGGUAGUUUUCAUUUUCUAAUCAUUUCUCUAAUCUUUUACUUCCUUUUUUGAUUUUCAUUUAUGUAUUCACAAUAUGAUCAAAGAAAAUGUCAUCAAUCUAAACUAUUAAUUUUGUGUAUUUCCCAAUAACUUCCUAUGUGCCCAUCCAAAUGGAUAUUUAUCAAUCAAAUGAGAAAGAUCUUUUUCUUAACUCAGGAGUGAUGUAUGUGUGUAGUUACACACAUUAUUGCCUUUUGUCUCUCAUGCGUAAAUGUUGCUCUCCUCUUGUCCAUGAACACAUCUGUAGCCCUGAUCUUAGGCUCCACUUUUCCCUCUUUACAUAGGAAACCAGCCUCCCUCAGCCCUAUGGUUUCUGUAUUUAUAAGUGAUUUACCAGAUUACUCUGGCAAUUAUGGUCUUUGAAACAGAAGAUGGUUCAUCUUUAGUUUGAUUUAGAAAAGAGUCUGAUUGUUACAAGUCCAUGAGCUCUUCCCACGUUUCUCCUCCUUCUAGAACAUGUUCCUACAGGUCCUGUAGUUGUGUUUUAGGGAACCACAAAGUCAGGACUAUUACAGACAUCGUUCUUUCUUUCCCCCAUUGUCAUCCUGGAUACCUAUUUUCCUCCACAGACUGGGCCAAUACCCCCACCAGAAUCCUGGUUCUUCUCGGGAACAUGGGUGAGGAGACUCUACAUCUGGGAUGACUGUAUUUUCCCAGCAGCACCUCACUCACAGGGAGAGCUCACAUGGCGCCACGCCCUGUCCUCUGGAGUGACCGAGUCCCUUCCUCACCUGCUGGACUCCCUCCCUGAGGACAGGCUCACCACAUCCUGAGGACUUGAAAAUCUCCUUUCUGUGGAGGGCUUGUUUACUUGUUGGGAAAGGAAAUCAUCUUCCUGAAACCCCACCCCCUCCCCUGGAGUGUUUAUGGAAGGACCCGAGUUCCCAGUGGUGACCCCUGUUCUCCUGGCCCAUGUCUCCCGGUGUCCUGAGUCAGUAGUGCUAAGGUGCUGAGUGCUAGUGUGUUUGUGCAAGUGGACAGAGGAAUUAUCCAACUACCAUUAUUUUACCUUUAGUAGAGAGAUAAUUUUCAUUUUACCAAGUGUAGGUUGUAUCAUUCAGCUCUUUUAAUUUUCUGAACACGUGUGAUAUUCAGAGUUUCUGAGUUGGAGGAAUGAGAUUCAGUGGUGUUGCUGUCUCUCAUCAGAAGUUUAUGUCACAGAACCCAGUGAGCUUCAGUUGCUCCUUCAGUCAGUUGAUUCCACUGGGCUUCUUUGUUCCUCUGUCUCUGUCUUCCUCUGAGAAUGCAGGGCAGUGAGACUCACGCUACUCAGUCGCGGGAAAUAGCCUUCUUUCUUUGCUUGUCUGUGAUUCUUCAGUUGAAGUUGUUUUAAUUUAUAUUGACAUACUGGACAAGAUGAGUCUCACUGCUCCUGCUCUAGUCCUAAUUCAUGAUGAGGUGAGAACAAUAAAAGGAAGUAAAGAAAGCCAGAGGGGCUGUACUCUAUCAUUUUCAAGACUUUAGAUUUUUUUGUUUUUCUUUGCAACCUUCCUAGAAAGUAAAAUUCGAGAUGAGAAAACAAAUGUAGACCAAAAGAAAACCAAUGUAAAUCUGAAUGUCAUGAAUAUGAAAAAAGGGAAGUGGCUUUCCCCUGACACAAUGAGUUAGCAAACUUCAGUGCAGCACAGCUGGGGAGAUGCUGAGGCAGAGGGGAAGGAUGAGGCCAGUAUGAACAACAGAAAGGCUGGGACAGAGCUGGGUCUGCCAGAAACUCAAUGAAGGAAAAGUUCUGGGUCAUUUGACUGCUCUUUGCUUUGCAAGAUCAGUGGCCCCAUUUUUCUUUCAUUUAAUCCAUGUAAGAUCAGUUUUAGGAGAGAACUAAGUCACAUCCAUCAGCUCACAAGGAAUGCCAGUUGCUAGAAAACUAACUGUCUCUGGCAGGAUUUUGGAGACCAGCCUUGCUGAGCAUCUGUCUAGGUGACAAAUCCGCUCAACAAUGAGAAGAUGCUUUGUGAAAACUAAAAUUAAAUAAAAGGGAAUCAGAUAAUUCCAGAAAUCAUUAUGUUAACCUGGGUAAUCAUAAUCAUAGUAUUAAAAAAUAAUAACUGAAUUUUGUUUGCUACUAAUGGAUGGCAUCACAGACUCGAUGGACGUGAGUCUGAGUGAACUCUGGGAGAUGGUGAUGGACAGGGAGGCCUGGCGUGCUGUGAUUCAUGGGGUCACAAAGAGUUGGACACGACUGAGUGACUGAACUGAACUGAGCUGAACCCUAACAAUCUCCCUAAUAUUCCAGUUUGUGAUAUGAUCAUAUUGAUGGGUUGGGUUUCUGUGGCUUUUUUAAGAAUUUUAAAAAUAUUUAUUUCAUGUGCUUAUUUGGCUGGGCCAUGUCUUAGUUGAAGCAUGCUGGAUCUUGGAUCUUCCUUGCUUCAUCCAGGAUUUUCACUUGGGCCAUGGGAAGUCUUGCUUGCCACAUGCAGGAUCUAGUUCCCUGACCAGAGAUCCAACUCAGGCUCCCUGCUGUGGGAGCAUGGAGUCCUGGCCACUGGACCGUCAGGGAGUCUUGAGGGGGAGGGUUCCAAUAUAUGAAUUUGGGGAACACACACACAUUCAGUCUGUGACACGGUAAUAAGAAGAUACCAACAAAUUGUGUUUAUGGCAAGGAUUCCUUAGGAUCUAUUUCAUUCUUGGUAUUUAUUUGAGGAGAAAGAACACAUUCCCUGAUGCUACCCUCACUUUUUAUGGCAUAUCCAUCCUGGAUUGUUUGCUCAUUAAAUGUUAUAAAUGUUAUACUGUGAACCUAAUUACCAAGGACCUACCAGGCUUCCCUGGUGGCUCAGAUGGUAAAGAAUCUGCCUGCAAUGCAGGAGACCAGGGUUCAAUCCCUGAGUCGGGAAGAUCCCCUGGAGAAGGAAAUGGUAACCCACUCCAGUAUUCUUGCUUGGAGAAUUCCAUGGGCAGAGGAGCCUGACAGGCUACAGUUCACGGGGUCACCAAAUGUCAGACUCGACUGAGCCACUAAUACUUUCACCAGACAAAUUCCCCAGACACUCAGUCUUCAUCAAAAAUGACAGUGACAACAGCUACAAAUUCCUUAGCCUCUAAAGGGACUCACUUAAUCCUUCCAACAUAGUGAAAUGAGUUAAUAUUCUCCUUUCCAAGAGCCCCCUGCUAAGACUUUAUGUGAAUGAACUAAUCUAAUAAUGAAGGUCAGAUUCCACACUCCCAUCCACAGCAUAAACACCUGAGCCCACUGCAUGUCCUGAACUCUCACUUAUUUCCCUCUUUUGCCUCUAACACAAGCUGUCCCUUUGUUGUUUCAUACCUCAGUGUUACAAAUCUCUUAUUUCCAUUAAUGUCUCCCUCCAAAUUCUCGAUAAGCUGAGCGAUUUACAAAGUAUCCUGAUUAUUUUGUAUAAGAAGCAAACUGAAAUUAUCAAGUGGUAGUUAUUACUGAGAGUCUAACUGUGCUUGACAAAAUUAAUAAUUCUAAUAAUUAUAAAAUAAUCGCAUUUAACUGUCCAAGAGGUCUCAUAGAUUGUUAAGUGAUCCUCACCAUAAAAUUGAGAUACAUGAUGGACAAGGUCCUUGAGAGAUAUGACCCCUGCUCAUAUUGGGUUACAAACAUUUCAGUGAAUCCUCUGUAGAAAACCCCAAGCUGAUGGUACUUGUGGCUAUAGGUAAAGCAUACUUGCUGCUACCAAAUUACCUGAAUAUGGGAAAUGACUGGAAGAAUAGAAGACGACGUCCGGACAGAAAUCUGCCUGAUACUGUGACCCUCCAGUGGGAAGGAAGACUUGGGGACAAGACUGAGACUUAAAGGCGCCCCAAGGGAAAAAGAAAAUUAUUUCAUUCACUAUUAAUAUAAAAGGUAAAUUUCUCCUGUAAUGUUAAUUGUCUGAAAAAUCUUUUAAAAUAUAUACAUUUUAAACUCACAUCAAAUUGAAAUGUUUUCCUUAUGCUGCAACAGUACUUGUAAGUUGCUGGCUUUAGUGGAAGCAAAAGCAUGAGUGCUGUUUUCAAAAUUGCUACAUUGUAUAUAUCUCUCUUCACUGAGGGAAUGCCAUAUUUGACAAAUAAUGGCCGAGUCAGUUCAGUUCACUUCAGUUCAGUCGCUCAAUCAUGUCUGACUCUGGGUGACCCCAUGAAUUGCAGCACUCCGGGCCUCCCUGUCAAUCACCAACUCCCGGAGUUCUCACAAACUUAUGUCCAUC